GAAACAACCAGCCCUGAGCCCUUGCACUGCAGCUGUGCACUUAGAUGGCAGCCCUGGGGCUGGAGGGGCAGGAUACUCAUGUCCAUCAUGUUCCUCGCCAAGUCCCUAGUUGUCUCAUCCUUAGCGUUGGGAGUCCAGUUACAUCUGUACCAGCCUCAGCGGUUCCUGGUUGUGGAAGUCGGUGGGACAGCAGAGAUCCACUGCUCCUCCAGGGAAGAUAUGGAAGGGAGACAGUAUGUACUGUGGUAUGGGAGAAGGGCGGGUAAGGCUCCCACAUGCAUUAAGGACUGUGCGGAUGAUAAAAAUGUGAGCAAAUUUUCUUGCAAGCGUCAGACUCACAGCACAUCACUGGUAAUCAGGGACAUCAAAAGGAAUGAGUCUGGCAUUUAUUACUGUGCAUAUGACCUCGGCAGCUCAUGGACUUUUGGGAAGGGAACCACGGUGAUCGUUGGAGACAGCUUCACAGAUAGCAGCUCCGUGCUGCUCCUGGGCCCUGGUGCAGGGGAGAAGGGAGCCACGGAGCCUGCACAUCUGGCCUGUGUGAUCCGGGGCGUCUCCAACCUCGUCCAGGUGUCCUGGCACAUUCCCGGAGAGGAGCCAGCCCAGAGACUGCUGCGCUUGCUGGAAGCCAGUGAUGGGUCCUUAACACUCAUCCAUGGCAUCAGCAUCCCCUGGGCCAGCUGGGCCAGUGGGGUGAUGGUUGUGGCAGAAAUGCCACCGUCUGUGCCCCUCUCCAGAGAUCUGUCUCUGCCAGUCUGACAGGCUGGUGUUGAAUCCCUCAGGGCGGGGAUCUCCCUCCCUGGUCUGCAUAACAAAUGCUCUGGUCACCUGGGCAGGGGGGAAAAAGCCCGGCCCUGCUUAGGGGCCCAGGUAGCCAGGGAUGCUUUGUAGAUUGGUUGGCUUGUGGCCAGCACUGGCAGCUUCGAUUGGACCGGGCUGCUGAGGUCAGAGAGGGGAUAAAAAGACCCGGGCCAGGAAGAAGGCAGCCAUUAGCCAUGCGGUCAUCCAGAUGAAUCUGAACCUGGGAGAGGAGCUUCACCAUCUGAACCCGGCUCUCUCCUCAUAACUGCAUGCUCCAAGAGUGCCCUGCCUCCAGAGGAAACUCCAACCACCUCUGGACGAUGCGACCCCUCGCAGCUGGUGCCAGCAGGAGGCCGUGCGCUACAUGGUGGUGGGUCUCCUGGUGCUGCUGAUGGUAUCUCUGACCUCCCUCUGGAUGUGUAGCUGCUCCAGUCCAGGGUCAGGGAGUUUGUGCCCAGCCACAGUGUGAGCCUGCCACUGCUGGAGGACCUGGACUCAGCCCCCGUGGAAGGGAAACGGGAAGUCUCGAGCACAAAGGAAUCGGGCCUGGAAACCCCCAGCUGGUCCCUGCCGAGCUGCUGCCUCUUGUUCCCUUCACCGCUGCUCCGUGGCGUUCGCUGCUUCUUGCUGCCCGGGGAUGAUCUGCGCCAGACCAGCUCCACAGUGCGACUGCAAGGGUGAACUCUGCCCCUGCUCUAGGGAUCAAGAGGAGGAGAUCCUGCCCUCAGGCACCAGGAGGUGGGAGGUUUCCGGCCACGAGUGGCCGGGGUGACUGCAGUCUGUGGGGAGACG